rnacentral:misc_RNA from 1 species
CACUUGCAAAUAAAAUCUUAGGCAUGCUUGAAUAAUUCCAAGGGAAAAGUCCACUAACAAUAAGAAAACAUAGUCUCCAUAAAAUUGUUCAAUUAGUAUACCAAAAGAAAGGUUCAGGCAGCCCAAUGAUCUUCUCCAUCACCUCAAAGUUGGUUUCCUAAAGUUACAAUGUUACAUUCUAUGACAGACCUUUCAACCAAUCAAGAGAGUUGGCAUCUCCCCUCUGUUUAGUCUUUUACUUGCAAAAUCUCUUUUAUAUUCUUCAAUUCAUUUCAACAUAAACAGCAAAAGGUGGAAGAACGAGAGGAACAAAUCAUUACCAAACAUUCAUCAUUUCUCCUUAUAUGUGAAUUCUGCCAAUGAAGCAUGGGAAAAAAGUAAAGUCAUUGUAAUAAGGUGUCCACCCUCUCAUCUCAAAUCUUUUGGGGAACAGCUCAGUUUAGAAGUAUAUCAACUGUUCUUGUUUAAUUGACAGAGAAAAACACAAAACGUUAUGAAUAAUGGCAUGCCAUCAUAAUUCAUAAAACUUCAUUCUAUGCACACAAUAAAAAGAAAUACUUCACAAGUAAGAACUUAAUCGUCUGUUUUCAGCAUCAUAGGAUGCAUAACCUGAGAUUGUAGGUGACCACCA